AUCAACCGUUAAAUAAGUUGGUGUAACUUCACAUAGUUGUUGAUGAGAAAUUCGGAAAAUGAUAAAAUCGUGAUUUUAGAUCUCAAAAGUUACCAAAACAAAAGCGAAGUUACCAAGUUACCAGCACUAAAAAAACUUACCCAUUUUGCUAGAAUUCUACCAACUGUGGCAACCGUGGUUGUGUACAUAGUUUCACCCCCUUCAUACCUCUUGUCAAUAAACUCAUUUUCACAUUAAUGAAAAUUUUCAUAGUCUGGCAAUAAGACUUGCUUUCGAUACACAAGGAAAUAAGCGUGUAGAAUAGAAUUAAAUUUAGGAAUUAAUUGCAUAAAUCAAAUAAGCAGCAAGAAAAUGGUUGAUGCAGCCAGGCAGAUGCUGGAUGAGUUAAUGGGUAGGAACAGGAAUUUGCACCCAUCGGAAGCUCCGAAGGCAGUCAACUGGGAGGAUCCAGAUCUUUGUCAGUAUUUUUUGGUGAAAUUUUGCCCACACGAGUUAUUUGUUAAUACUAGGGCCGAUUUAGGUCCGUGUGACCGUAUACACGACGAGGAAGCCAAACGACAGUACGAAAAGGCUAAACCUUCCAUCAUUAAAAAGCAGUACGAAGAUGAGUUCUUAUAUUUUUGCAAUUCUAUGCUUAACGAUGUGGAUCGCAAAAUACUCAAAGGUAAGCAGCGUUUGGCUCUUAUACAAAAAGAUCAGGGUCCUUCGUCGCACUAUUCCCGAUAUCGCGAACAGCUGAAUAAUCUAAAUGCGCGCAUCAAAAAACUACUUGCGGAGGCGGAGGAAGCCGGCACGAGAGGUGAUGUUGAUCAAGCUAAGGAUUUAAUGAUAUUGUGUGAACAAUUAAAAGAUGAAAGAGACCUUUUAAUGUCACAACAAGAGAAUAGCGAAAAAGACGAUAGAUCGGAGACUUCGGAAUCAGAUGCAAAUAAGGCACAAUCACAAUCGCCUACCAGUGACAUCAACGGGUUUGAGAAAUCGAUGACAACAGAUACCCACAGUACAAUUGACGACGAAACAUCUUCAAAUACUACUAGUCAGAAUAGUUUGAGGGCGUGGAUAAAAGAUAUAGGUCAUUUGCCUGAGAAGCAAAUGGAGGUGUGCGAAGUUUGUGGUGCCUUUCUCAUUGUAGGAGAUGCCCAACAACGGAUUGAAGAUCACCUGAUGGGGAAACAACAUUUGGGAUAUUCCAAACUGCGUAAAGCUGUCGAGGAAAUACAUUUAAAGCGACAGAUGGAGCGAGCAACCGACGAUGAUCGUAGAAUCCGCGAUGAACGUUCGCAGUCAUACCGGGCAUUUGACAGCGAAAAAAGGCGAGAACGUGAUUUAGAUCGGGACCGUGAUUUUCAUCGUGGUAGUAGACGACAAAGCGAUCGUCACCGUCGCCACCAUAAAUCUCAUCGACGUCGUUCCCACUCACGAAACCGUCAUGAUCGACGGUACAGCCGCAGUCGCAGCCGUAGUCGUUACUAAUGACAGGAGAAGCAUUUCUAAACAUCCGAGGUACACUUCCCUUAUCUUAAUAACAAAAAAAUAAUACCAAUAUGAUUUCAAACAAAUCAUAAAACAAAAAUAAGAAAACAAAUCAUUUAAUAAUCUAAUACCACAGAUUAAGAAUAUCGAUCUUACACAACUUAGAAGGUAUAUAAGAGCAAAUGAUAUAAUUAUUUUGAUACUGAGGGAAUCAUUACUAAAUUUGAGGGAGACAAUUUUGUAUAAAUAUCUUAUCGAUAUACUACUCCGCUCUAAAGUUUGGAUAUACCUCAAGAAAGCAAUACAUCGUAAAGCAGUGUUUUGGAAUCUGGAGGAAUGGCACGUGCGUCUGAGAAGUGAACCAACCAAAUUCAUCGAAUCGUGGAAAACGCACAGGUAACAUAGAUUUGGCAUCUAAACAUCAUAAGUUGCCACACAGCAUUAAGGUAGCUGAAAUGAAGUCGUCUUUACGGAAUGGAUUAAUUCAGAGGUGAUUGCUAAAUUUGUAUUGCUUUUUUCGUUAGCAUUUUGUAAAAUUGAUAUUACAACCCCAGUUGUAUAUGAUAAAAUAUAUAUACAUACAUAAUAUACUAAAUUAAAACUGUGGUCUGUUCAUGUUGCGGCGGGAAAUGUAUUUUACAAACACUCAAGUAUGUGGUGAAAACGGUUUGAAUCAAUUUAUAGUAUCGUUAGUCGUUGAUGAUAAAAAAGUAUCAUUUGCAUAAUGCUUUAUGUUAAUAUUUAAAAAAUCAAAUUACGUUUUCAAUAAAAUGUGAGCCACUUGUACUCAUUUAA